AAUGGAAAGUCCUCUGCUGGGUCCUUUCUUCUGAUUUCUAGCUUAUCCUCAAUUAGGGCAGAAUUAGCUUAAUAUGUAUCAUUUGGGAGCGCCUCCGACACUUGGGCCCAUGGAGAGCACCUGAGUCCCCUCCCACCACAGAUCUGGGUUCUUAUAUGAUGACGUGUCUUUUCCCUUCGGGACUGAUUCUGGGGGCGAUCUUACCGGGACAGUCAUACCUCAACCUAGUAAUGCAGCAUCCACCAAAUACACAGGACCCAAAGUCAUAAUCUAGAGGCCAUGUUGGAAGAAUAGCAAGUGAAGAGGAAGAGCAAGAAAAUUCACUUGGUGUAGAGAAAUGACUGAGAGAUAAGUUCAGAGAAGGAUUCGAAAAGUAUGAUCCAGGAAAAGUAGGUUUGGUGUGGAGAUUACUGAUGAAGAGUUUGAGUUGCUGUUUGACAGAGUCCCCCUUGAUGAAGAUGGAAAUGUCAGAUAUCUCCGGUCUCUUGGCCGUGUUUGAUUCUCGGUACUCCUUCUUCACAUUUUCUCAUUCCUUGGUUGUUUUCUAUUCUUGAUGCUUUUAAUUCAGAGA